GCCCAGGAAAAAAACUAAUGUGUGCUGAAAUCUCUCCGCAUAUUGUGUUUUCUAAAGUCUGGUGGGUCGAGACAAAGGAACAAAACCCUGAAGAGCUCAAACUUGAGUUCCGAAAAGAUAUGUAGAAUCUUCACAUCAAAGUCGCCGGCGACGAUGAUCCAACGAAUGGAGCUACAUCGGGUUGGGUUGAGUGUGUGAUCCAGCGAGGUGUCUUGGACUGAUGGCAUUUUGUUCUCAGCAUGUGUGAGCAUUUCUGCUAUGGACCCUCUAUGUUUAAUUAAGUGAUAACAUUAUUUCUUUGAAGAAUGUAACUUGUGCAGUGUAUAACUGUUAUUAGAGAGAACAACAUUUGUGUCUUUCAAAUAAAAGGUUUGUGCUGCUUUUUUUGUGAAAGACGGCUUGUGUUACAAAUUUUAGGGCAUUACAUUCCUUUUUUGGAUAAAGAUCUGCUAUUCUAUUGAGGCAGUGUAUCUCUUACUACUCCCUUAGUUUCAAAAUACUUGUCGUGGCUUUAAUUCAAAUUCGAACUAAAACCACGACAGUAUUUUCAAACGGAGGGAGUAUAACUUUUGCAUAUUAUCAGUAUCCUUUAGUACGUUACAUGAAAUGUUUUCCAAUAUGCCCAAGUGAAGGUGUAGUUUUUAUGAGAUAUUUCUUUAACACGAGCAAUGGUGCAGAUCAAAGAGUGCAUGCAUCGGGAGCAGGAAAAGGUGUGUUGUGAUACAGGUAAUCAAGGAAACC